UCCCAAGGUUCACCGCACUCUUCUGCAAGAUGAGGCAGAGCAGCCUCUCCGUGCUCACCGGGAUUUUCCUCCUCCUCUGCCUCCCCAUGGCGCAGCCUGAAUUGAGGGAGACAGAUGUGGCCAAACCUGGAUACUGCCCAGAGUUCCCACUCCGCUGCCCUUUCGUGAUGUUACCGCUGUGCCGGCGCGAUAAAGGCUGCAAGAAGGACAAGAAGUGUUGUUUCUACAACUGUAGACGUCAGUGUGUGGUGCCCUGGCCGAGUCUGGAUUGAGGUAGAAAUCCCUUCUGACCCGGGCCUGAGAAGACACUGAUAGUACAGGCUCCGACUCGGAUAACUGGUCUCCAGUUCUUCCACGUCCUCCUCAUCCCCCAGACUUCCUUUAUCAGAGUUCAGUGCUUAUUACUAUGACAACAGCACAAAGGAAUAAAGUGUUAUA